AUUGAACGCUGGCGGCAGGCCUAACACAUGCAAGUCGAGCGAGCGGCGGACGGGUGACUAAUGUAUGGGGACUGCCCGAUAGAGGGGGAUAACUACCGGAAACGGUGGCUAAUACCGCAUACCUUCAGAUAACCCAAUUGGGAUGAGCUUGUAGGUGUGGUAAAGGCUCACCUAGGCGACGAUCCCUCGCUGGUCCGAGAGGAUUAUCAGCCGCACUGGAACUGAGACACGGCCCAGACUCCUACGGAGGCAGCAGUGGGGAAUAUUGCACAAUGGGCGCAAGCCUGAUGCAGCCAUGCCGCGUGUAUGAAGAAGGCCUUCGGGUUGUAAAGUACUUUCAGUCGGGAGGCGUUACCGACAGAAGAAGCACCGGCUAACUCCGUGCCAGCAGCCGCGGUAAUAC
rnacentral:rRNA from 1 species